rnacentral:rRNA from 1 species
GGCAGCGGGACAUUUCGGUGUUGCCGGCGACCGGCGGACGGGUGCGUAAUGCGUAUGCAAUUUGCUUUACACUGGGGCAUAGCUCCCGGAAACGGGAAUUAAUACCCCAUAUUAUCUAGUCAGCGCAUGUUGAUUAGAUGAAAGCUCAGGCGGUGUAAAAUGAGCAUACGUCCUAUUAGCUAGUUGGAGAGGUAAUGGCUCACCAAGGCGAUGAUGGGUAGGGGUUCUUAGUGGAAGGUCCCCCACACUGGCACUGAGAUACGGGCCAGACUCCUACGGGAGGCAGCAGUAGGGAAUAUUGGUCAAUGGGCGCAAGCCUGAACCAGCCAUGCCGCGUGCAGGAUGAAGGCUCUAUGAGUUGUAAACUGCUUUUGU